rnacentral:sRNA from 1 species
UUUUUAAGCAAAAGGGAGUUCAUUUAUUUGGGGUUUCACAAAACCUCAUUAGGCUCUCUACUGUCUAUCUAAAUACUUCCAUCCAUUUCCUCCUAUCCUGUCCAUAACUGAAGGUGGAGCCCACUGUUACUUAACGGUAUUUGUGUUAAGGACACUGAGCAAUGCCGUAUUAGUUGUAUAAUGACUUCACUACCUGCUGGGUUUGAAUCCCAGGCUCGUCAUUUGCUGGCUGCAGUGCAGCUCUUUCAGACUUGUAAUUUUAAGGUAGUAGCACAUGGUAAACACUCAAAAAAUGUUAUUUCUUAUCCUUCUAUCUAUUUUGGAGGUUUGGUAUAACAGCAUAGUAGGAAGAUGAGGGACUUUGAAGUGAGACGUGGGUUUGAAUUAAAGCUUUAUGGCCUUGGGCAAAUCAGUGAGACACGGUAGUCUCUGUUUAAUAUGUACAUGUACUUGUUCUGAGAAUUCAAUGAAUAAUGUAUGUAAAGUGUUCAGAUCCUAGCCAUCAAUAUUUAUUGGAUGUCUUUAAAUCACCUAGUGCAUUAUGGGAGCUCAGUUAGUGGCAGCUAUUAACAAUUUGGGUUUGCCUGUUGCCUUUUCUAGGGUUUGGGUGUUUUAUUCGUUGUAUUUUGAAUGAAUCUUAAUGUAGCAUGCCAUACUGAAUGUGCAUCAUGUAUACACAUAUCUUAAUAUCAAAUCAGAAGUUUUCGUUUCACACUCAGCUUAUUUUAGGAAACAUAUAUUGCUCUGUUCAUAGUGAAUCUGAUUAAUUGAAUGUUUUAUUCCCUGCAUAUGCUUUUAUGUCUUCAGUACCAACCCUCUUGAGGAAGAAGUGCAAGAAUUUUCUCUUAUAAUCCUCUCAUUUGUGAUUAUUCUUGUCUUGGUAAUUUUUGACACUAUCCACAGUAUAGUUACAUGUUACAUGCCUUGUGUUUUUUAAACCUUAAAGUUGCAUAUGCAUUGCUGUAACUCAAGCAUGCUUUCAUUGCUUUGUUCCCUAGUUCAAACUAUGUUUUAACUGAUGAGCAAUCACUUUGGAUUGAAGAUACUACAAAAUCAGUUUAUCAAGUAAGUUCAACACGCAACAAACCCAUGAUUGAAAAAAUGGAAAUAUAGGAUUUUCUUUGUUUCAGCCCCAAAUAGGAAAAUAAGGAUAAAGUUAAGCUCAGGUACAAGACCACAAACACUCCUUGGUUCUCUGCCUACAAACCACUCCUAUGAUGCAGAAAGUUGUUGAAAGCUUAGUAUAUUCUUUCUAAUCACAGCUACUAUCUGAAAACCCCCCCGAUGGAGAAAGAUUUUCAAAGAUGGUAGAGCAUAUAUUAAACACUGAAGAAAACUGGAACUCGUGGAAAAAUGAAGGUUGCCCAAGUUUUGUGAAACAUCAGAUACCAAACCUACGAGAAUAAUUCGGAAGAGAACAGCACCCGAGGACUUCCUAGGGAAAGGACCCAGCAAAAAAAUUCUGAUGGGAAAUGAGGAGUUAACAAGGCUUUGGAAUCUUUGUCCUGAUAAUAUGGAAGCCUGUAAAUCAGAGACAAGGGAAUACAUGCCCACUUUGGAGGAAUUCUUUGAAGAAGCCAUUGAACAGGCAGACCCUGAAAAUAUGGUUGAAAAUGAAUAUAAGGCUGUGAACAAUUCAAAUUAUGGUUGGAGAGCCCUGAGACUAUUAGCACGGAGAAGCCCUCACUUCUUCCAGCCAACCAACCAGCAGUUUAAAAGUUUACCAGAAUAUCUUGAAAAUAUGGUAAUAAAGCUAGCCAAGGAAUUACCGCCUCCUUCUGAAGAAAUAAAAACAGGUGAGGAUGAAGAUGAGGAAGAUAAUGAUGCUUUACUGAAGGAAAAUGAAAGUCCUGAUGUUCGGCGAGACAAACCUGUAACAGGAGAACAAAUAGAGGUAUUUGCCAACAAGCUGGGUGAACAAUGGAAGAUUCUGGCUCCCUACUUGGAAAUGAAAGACUCAGAAAUUAGGCAGAUUGAGUGUGACAGUGAAGACAUGAAGAUGAGAGCUAAGCAGCUUCUGGUUGCCUGGCAAGAUCAAGAGGGAGUUCAUGCAACACCUGAGAAUCUGAUUAAUGCACUGAAUAAGUCUGGAUUAAGUGACCUUGCAGAAAGUCUAACUAAUGACAAUGAGACAAAUAGUUAGCUUCUUUUUUUUUCUUUUUAUUAAAACUGUGAUAGAUUUUGUUACCAAGCAGCAUUUGAUAAGAGGUCCACUGGUUUUGGUAAACAAUAAACAUUUUUAUAAC